rnacentral:pre_miRNA from 1 species
AGGAGGAACAACCACAGUGGCUGCGGCCAGCUCUGGAGCCCUGUAUUCAGCUUCUGCAGUAACUAUGGAGCUGUCGGUCUGCAGGAGCCUGGAUACUCCUGGGGGCG